CGACUAUAAAGAUUCCUAAAAAUGUGAAAACUGGGUAACAGGCAGAGGCUGGAACUUUGGAGGGCUCUGAAGAAGGUAGAAACAUGAGGGAAAGUUUGAAACUUUCUAGAAGAGGUA